GGUGGGAAAGAUCAUUCCGGACUCCGACAUCUCUAGCAUCGCUGUACAGCGGAAAAAAGGAAGUGGGCAUUUUACGGAUAGCAGGGACACAGCUGAGGGCAGCCGCGCAGCUAACCCAGCGGCAGCGACGACGGGCGAAUGUCGGGCGAAUUUCUCAGUGUGCGAAGGAGAUGCGCGUGUCAGGAGACCGCGGGGAAAUGAGUAAGGACGAGUCGGCCGAUACGUGGGUCAUGAGUCGCGCAAAAUGAGGAAAUUGUGUAACGCUGCGGUGGAGGCCCGAACAACGGACUGCCUCGAAGUCACGAGACGUCUGCACAAGAGCGUGACAGAGAUUGUCAAGAAAUUGGAUGAACAGAAAAAUCGUGCUCUAACAGUAAGCGAUAUAUUUGUCCCAUCGGGAGAAGUGUUACGUGUGAGACUUAAAGAUUAUUGUGAGAGAUUGAUAUUGAAAGAUCCUGUUGGAAAUGUGCAUAAAAUAGAGGAAUUAUUGUGGAGGAAAGCUUUUUACGAUGUUGUUUAUACAGCCAAAAAAAUUAGAAAGAGUAACAUCUGGAAUGAUUCGGAAAAAGCAUUAUUGUCGGUUCAUUUCUCAGUUGGUGUGGGAUAUUAUCAUCAUCUGAUAUUGAGGCUACAAAUAGAAUAUGAUCUAGAUCUUGUCGGUGUUGUUGACUUUGCAUUCAUUCAAAAUGAAAGUGUUUCGUCGUAUGUAAGUAAACAUAUGGAAAGAGCAAGAACUAAGACUGGACAAUUUAAAACUCAUACCAAGGAAGUUAAACAGUGUGUCAUGCGUUUGGUCCAUCGAAGCUUGGUAUGCCUUGGAGACCUGACCAGGUACAAAUUAGAAUUAGAUUCAAAUUGGGAUCCAAUGAUAGCAAACAGAUAUUAUAAAAUGGCUAUAGCCAUUGAUCCAAAUAUUGGUAUGCCUUACAAUCAGCUUGGUACUAUAGCGGGCAGCAAAAAUUAUGGAUUGGAUGCAGUCUAUCAUUAUAUGAAAAGUGUUUUAUGUUCUGAACCAUUUGAAGGAGCAGAAGGAAAUUUAAAGAGAACCAUAAUAACUCAUUCUCUCUGUACAGAUGAAAACAAUUCUGUCCAUCAUUGUGUGACGCGAUUAUUUUCUUUAUUGCGUUUAUGGGAUUAUGACAAUCCAAAUUCUGAUAGAAUAAAUCUGGAAUGCCAGGAUCUCUUAACUGACAUAGAGAAAUGUUUAACAAUGGAACAAAUUGAACCAAAUAACGCAAAUUGCCUUGAAAAUAUGGAUAGUAUAGAGACAUAUCUUCAACAUUGCAAGAACAGACCAACACUUUAUUUAACCGACGACAUGAUAUUUAAGAUUGUGACAAUAUGCUUAAUGUCAAUUUCUAGAUUAAAGAGCAAAGAAUCUAGCGAAGUGCAGGGUGUUGUUGCUAUAACUUUGGCAAUACUAUCGCAAUUACUGGAAUUUAUAAUAACGAGACUGCAAAAUAUUGUCAUAGACAUGGCAGUACCUGAUAUAGAAGCAAUUGCAAAAGCGGAUAUGUAUUCUACAAAAUUGAAAAAUGCGCAAAGAAGUCAAGAAUCAUUUAAGCAAAAAAACAAUAGAGAUUAUACAGAAGGAGAAGAUUCUGCUUUGAGCAAUGACAAUAAUGCAUUCAACUUAGAUAAAACUAACAAAGCAAAGUUAUCAGAUAAUAAUGAAAUCGUGAACAAAGAUCCCAAAAAGAUUCGCGACAAAUCGAAAAGUCUUCUCAGCAAACUGCGUAGACGAAAAAGGAGAACUAGCUCCGAUUCGGACGCAAGCGAUAUAGAGCAAUCGACCUUGGCAUCGUCUAGCGACGAGAUCAAUUCAGAUGUGUCUGAGACAGAAGAGGAUGACGCAUUGAGCGAAGAAAAUGCCGUAUUAUCAGACGAUAAUACCGAUGACGAAGAGUCAUCGCCAACGGAUAAUAUCCAGAAUACCGAAAACAUAACGCAGAAAGAGAUGAACGGCCACGUUAGCGAUAUCGUUAACAAAACGGAUAAUUGCGACGGAAGCGAUCAUUUAGUUAAUGGCAAACAGCACACAACUGACCGGCAAACAGACUCAAAGACGAUAAGUGAUAAAGAUUCCGUAACGAAUUCCAGCAGCGUCGCAACGAUCACGACGAACGCGAGCUCGAGUAGCACUUUCGAGGACAACAAUCGCUUAUGCGGCAUGAACAAUAUCUGUUACACGGCACAGUUGAAGAAACGGAGCUUAAAACCGGACGACAUUUUAAAUAUAUUGAUCGACAAGGAAAUGCUUAUGUCUAUCAAAGUGUGUUGCGAUUGGCUGCGAAGUAACCCAGACAUUGUGAGGAUAUGCGCCAAGAGGACGUUGCUGAAGCGUUUUACAAUCCUAUUGAAUUUGAUCAACAUGGACACCGAGGCUCUCGUACGAAAGAGCGACGAUUUUACGAUUCUGUCGAACAUGGAGAAACUAAAAGAGUGCGUGAAAACGGUACCUCUACCAGAAGACAUUGAUCUCAGGGGAUUGAAUCUGCUGGAAGAUGCUCACAAAUCUCUCGAUUGGCAGAUACUGCAUAAAUAUAAAAUGAAUAAGCGGGAGGAGAUGCUUCUGAGAGGAUUGAAACUAAUCGAAUUUGGACAUCAUCUCAGUUCUGUCGAAAAUUCAGGUGUGCAAUACGAUCAAACCGAACGAUUAUUCGUGGCGACGGAUCCGUGUCCCUCGAAUGCUUCAAAGGUUAUCGGUCUAGACGAAAAGAACUUUGGGCCUGAACAUUCGAAAGGAAAGCUUAUGAGACACAUGGGUAAAUUGUGGUUAAAAGCCGAAGUUCGAGCUCUGGAGAGUCAAUUACGAUCUCGAUUGAUGUCGCCAUAUCUCGUACCCGAUCACGAAGCGUUAGCCAAACAUACGCCGGCUCUUAAGCGCUUAGUAUACGCCAAGAAGUUUAUAGUAGUGAUUCCCGCAGUUGUUGUUUCUGCUUUGGACGAAGUGAAACGCGUAAGUGCCCAGGCGAGAGAAGCGACGCGAUGGUUGGAAACACAAUUGAGACGUGGCUCAAGAUUCUUGCGGGCGCAGAGACCUCACGAGCGUUUGGCGCUCCCAUUGAUAAAAGGACCAAGACCAAAGGACAAGGAAGCAUGGUUGUUUUUCCAGAUAAUAGAAUGUUGUCAUUAUCUUACUCAGCAAGCAAAAGUUGGUUUCACCGGUGAUGGAGAGGCACCAGUUGUAACCCUCCUGACUGGUUGUAAUCUGGAUGACAGAAAAGCUUUGACUUUUAGUCCCGAUGGAUUAGCGAAAAGUGCAGGCGUUAAUCUGGAGCAUAUAGAAUCGUUUCAAACAAAGUGGAAAUCAUCAUUUAAGAGCCAUGGUUGAGCAAAAAAGUCAUAUGUACGUGAUCAUCUGCUGUUAUUCUCAGCCGAUUCUCAGCCGAUCGGAAGGCGAGCACGGCAAGAGGGUUGGAAACCCGCGCAUAUAAAAUGGAAAAUUGACAGAAUUGUACCGCUAUAAAAUCGGUGCCGAUAGAAUGUCCUUUUCCGUCAUACGCAAGAAAACUCUAAACACCAAUGUAUUCUCAUCAGCCCUAUUAUCCAUCUGGAGAAUCGUAGCUGUUCACAGAUAUGAAUUAACAUGCUAUUGAAGAACAGGAAGCAUGAUUUAAGCGAUAUACAUUAAGCGAUUCAUGUCCAUUGAAGCAAUCGAAAGGAAUUAUCUAAACUCUGGAUAAUACUAAUUACUUGAAAUGUGUUAACUUUGUAGAUAUAAAAAAAAAGAAGUAAUAAUCUUAUGUACAAAUUUGAUUAGUCAUUAACUAUCAGCAGGUAUUUUUGCAUUCAAUGCACUUUUAUAGCUCUUUUAAUUAUUUAAAAAAAAAAAAAAAAAAAAUGCGAGGAAAAUGUUUAUAUACGAUAUAGAUAUAUAUUUAUACACACAUACAUUUUGAUAUCGUUUUAUAAUAUUGUUUUUAUAUUAGAUAAUAUGAAAAACACGAUCAGACGAAUCUAAAAACUCUAAGAUACUUUUUGUGACUUUUCGAAACGCGUAGAUAUAUUUGGCAUGAUAUGAGUCACGUGCGUCGAUUGUGUGCGUAUAUACGAUGUAUGACUAGUAAGAAUACACCACGUAUCCGGCUGAAUCCGGCACACGACGUCGCUUGAACGCGUAUCAUCUUGACGGCGUCGAGCGCGCAGGCGCGGCCAGUGCUUUCGCGUUGCGGUAGUGGCAGCGUGACAUAACCUAGCGGUUCUUGCGUUAUCCGUCGGUUUACGUGGUUCCACUACGAGGUACGAUCGUGCGAUCGGAAUUUGGUCUCGCACGAAGACGGAAUCGCGGUGAUCGCGGUUCUAUUGCGUGACUCACGCCACCGUCAAGCCGCGUGUUAAUCGUUAUGGCCGAGCGCGGAACGACGCGAUACAUAUUGGUGCAUGUCGGUCCGGUCGCACAGUCUCUCUAGUUUCGCGGGCCCAGAGUCUCGCAGGUGAAAAAAUUCAACGUAGUUCCUCGUCGCUGCGUCGGGCGCACGGGACGUUCGCAUCGCGAGCGCGAGGGAGUGUCAUCGUCGUCGGGCCGCGGGUGUCCGUAGUCGAGAUAUAUUUACACGGUGCGCAAUUACGUGGUUGUGAGUCCGAGUGAGAGAGGCUGAAAGAAGGACA